rnacentral:rRNA from 1 species
GGUUGCGAUCAUACCAGCACUAAUGCACCGGAUCCCAUCAGAACUACGCAGUUAAGCGUGCUUGGGCGAGAGUAGUACUAGGAUGGGUGACCCCCUGGGAAGUCCUCGUGUUGCAACCC